rnacentral:misc_RNA from 1 species
UUUUCGUAGCAUAAUACCAUUAAUUAAUUAAACAAUAAGGAAACAUAGCAUAGUUCUAAGAAAUAUAUAGCAUUAGUUAAUAUAAGCCACACUUAAUACAUUAAUCAUUAUUUACAAGCCCCAUGGCAUACAUAUAUCCAUUCAUCAGAAGGAUUCCUCUAGAGAAAUAUUAAUUGAUUAACAUGAUUUAAUUCUAUACUGAAAAUUUUACUUUCUCAACUAUAUAUGAGCGUCAAAAGCCCAUGCUCCAUGCAUAAUAUUAAGGUUAAUUAAUAUUAAUGAUUGUAAGGAGAAAUCGCUUGGACCCUAUGCUUCCUUUUCUGGAGGAACCGUUGGAUUGAUCUCUUCAUGGAAAGGCCAGCAGCCAUAGGGGUACACAGCGGAGAUGGCAAACUUGGAGAAGCUACUUCUGACCCAGUUGGGGUUCCGACUGGGGUUCGCAGAUUCUCUUCCAUUUCUCUACUUGCUAGCAAUAGAAUGGCUCUUGCCUGGAGCUCCGUGACAUCACAGACGCAAACCCUUCCAUUGUAGAAAAUAGUGAGCUGUUGACUAUGCUGUGGGCUUUGCUCAUCACUAGUCUCCUUCUCCUCCAAUACAGGUGGGUGGUGGUCGGGAUCGGAGAAAGGAAAAAGUUGGAGUUCAAGAUUGCAGUUUCGUCUCAUGUUCGUUUGAUAUAUCAAGAAAAUGAAUGACUUCAAGAAUGGAUAGAAGAAAGCCAAAGAGAAGAAGAAAGAGAGAGAGAAGGAGAGUCCAAACACAUAUCUAAUUAAGCAUAGAAAGAAACGAAUAGUAUAGAGGGUGG